rnacentral:rRNA from 1 species
CAAUAGCGUAUAUUAAAGUUGUUGCAGUUAGAACGCUCGUAGUCGGAUUUCGGGGCGGGCCGACCGGUCUGCCGAUGGGUACGCACUGGUCGGCGCGUCCUUCCUUCCGGAGACCGUCCCUACUCUUAACUGAGCGGGGGCGGGAGACGGAACUUUUACUUUGAAAAAAUCAGAGUGUUUCAAGCAGGCAGUGCGCUCUUGCAUGGAUUAGCAUGGGAUAAUGAAAUAGGACUUUGGUGCUAUUUUGUUGGUUUCGAACACCGAAGUAAUGAUUAAAAGGGACAGUCAGGAGCACUCGUAUUCCGCCGAGAGAGGUGAAAUUCUCAGACCAGCGGAAGACGAACCACUGCGAAAGCAUUUGCCAGGGAUGUUUUCACUGA